UACAGGGGGGGCGAGCGUUGUUCGGAAUUACUGGGCGUAAAGGGUUCGUAGGUGGCUGACUAAGUCAGACGUGAAAUCCCUCAGCUUAACUGGGGAACUGCGUCUGAGACUGGAGAGCUUGAGUGCAGGAGAGGAACGCGGAAUUCCAGGUGUAGCGGUGAAAUGCGUAGAUAUCUGGAGGAACACCGGUGGCGAAGGCGGCGUUCUGGACUGCAACUGACACUGAGGAACGAAAGCCAGGGUAGCAAACGGG
rnacentral:rRNA from 1 species